GUAACACGUGGGUAACCUGCCCAUAAGACUGGGAUAACUCCGGGAAACCGGGGCUAAUACCGGAUAACAUUUUGAACCGCAUGGUUCGAAAUUGAAAGGCGGCUUCGGCUGACACUUAUGGAUGGACCCGCGUCCCAUUAGCUAGUUGGUGAGGUAACGGCUCACCAAGGCAACGAUGCGUAGCCGACCUGAGAGGGUGAUCGGCCACACUGGGACUGAGACACGGCCCAGACUCCUACGGGAGGCAGCAGUAGGGAAUCUUCCGCAAUGGACGAAAGUCUGACGGAGCAACGCCCCGCGAGUGAUGAAGGCUUUCGGGUCGUAAAACUCUGUUGUUAGGGAAGAACAAGUGCUAGUUGAAUAAGCUGGCCCUUGACGGUACCUAACCAGAAAGCCACGGCUAACUACGUGCCAGCAGCCGCGGUAAUACGUAGGUGGCAAGCGUUCUCCGGAAUUAUUGGGCGUAAAGCGCGCGCAGGUGGUUUCUUAAAUCUGAUGUGAAAGCCCACGGCUCAACCGUGGAGGGUCAUUGGAAACUGGGAGACUUGAGUGCAGAAGAGGAAAGUGGCAUUCCAUGUGUAGCGGUGAAAUGCGUACAGAUAUGGAGGAACACCAGUGGCGAAGGCGACUCUUCUGUUCUGUAACUGACACUGA
rnacentral:rRNA from 1 species